GAUGAAGAACGUAGCGAAAUGCGAUAAGUAAUGUGAAUUGCAGAAUUUAGUGAAUCAUCGAAUCUUUGAACGCACAUUGCGCCCCCUGGCAUUCCGGGGGGCAUGCCUGUCCGAGCGUCAUUUCUGCCCUCCAGCCCGGCUGGGUGUUGGGCGCUGUCCCCCCGGGGACACGCCCCAAAGGCAGUGGCGGCGCCGCGUCGGGUCCUCGAGCGUAUGGGGCUUUGUCACCCGCUCGGGACGGACUCGUCGGCGCUGGUCUUCCUCCAGGCGACCCUUCGGGGCUCGUCUUCCUUCGGUUGACCUCGGAUCAGGUAGGGUUACCCGCUGAACUUAAGCAUAUCAAUAAGCGGAGGA
rnacentral:misc_RNA from 1 species